rnacentral:rRNA from 1 species
GCAAGUCGAACGGUAAGAGGUGCUUGCACCUCUGAGAGUGGCGAACGGGUGAGUAACACGUAGAUGAUCUACCUUUUAGUUGGGGAUAGCCCAUGGAAACAUGGAGUAAUACCGAAUAAUCUCUUUUAACUUUAGUAAUUAGAGGAAAGCAGCGUUUGCUGUGCUGAAAGAUGAGUCUGCGCACUAUUAGCUAGUUGGUGGGGUAAGAGCCUACCAAGGCAACGAUAGUUAGCCGACCUGAGAGGGUGAUC